UACGAAGGGGGCUAGCGUUGUCGGAAUCACUGGGCGUAAAGGGCGCGUAGGCGGCCGAUCAAGUUGGGGGUGAAAGCCUGUGGCUCAACCACAGAAUUGCCUUCGAUACUGUUUGGCUUGAGACCGGAAGAGGUUAGUGGAACUGCGAGUGUAGAGGUGAAAUUCGUAGAUAUUCGCAAGAACACCAGUGGCGAAGGCGGCUGACUGGUCCGGUUCUGACGCUGAGGCGCGAAAGCGUGGGGAGCAAACAGG
rnacentral:rRNA from 1 species